AUGGUACUGGGAUACCCACCGGAGGAGGCCCAGGACAUUGCGGACCGGCUUAAUUGCCGCCUGGGUUCUUUCCCCACGACUUAUCUGGGGAUCCCCAUUAGUGACUCGCGCCUCACCGUAGCGGACCUCCGCCCUUCCGUGACCCGAAUGCAACACCGGGUCGAGCCCUGGAAGGGCCGAUGGCUUUCGAAGACGGCGCGGGUAAUCCUCAUCAACUCCUCGCUGGCAAGCCUCCUCUGGUUCCUCAUGAGCUUCUAUAGACUCCAUGAGACGCUUCACCAGGAGGUGGCCAAAUAUCAGUCUAGGUUUUUCUGGGCUGGCGAGGGGGAUAAGCAAAAAUACCAUAUGGUGAGCUGGCCGGACAUUUGCAAACCCAAAGACCAGGGAGGUCUGGGGAUCUUGUCCUCCCGUCGGAUGAACAUCGCGCUCCUGACCCGAUGGCUAUGGCGUAUCGCCAACGGAGAGGGCGGCCUCUGGCUUACCAUCAUCAAGAAUAAGUACCUCCGAGGACAACCUCUUGCUUUCUGCCAGCGCUCUGGGGGAUCCCAGUUCUGGCAGGCUGUCAUCUAG
rnacentral:rRNA from 1 species